AGUUUAAAUGGCACCAAAUAAGAAGGAUCAAUAGGAAUAAUGAGGGAUAUUUGGAUUAACAGAAGCUAAUACUAAAGAAUAUGGAGCUUUUGAGAUCAGUAAGCUUAUUAUAAGAGUCAAGGUGGCUACGAACUUGAUUGAAUAUGUAAAAAAUGUUUGUUUUGAAGGAAUCCAAAACUUAGCUUUUUAGUAUCUCUCUCAUUCACAUAUGAUUUUCCUUCCUUUCACACGUACAAAAAAUUUAAUGUAGCAAAUUCUUUUUAGCAAAAACCUACUCUUCACUCAUUUUAAACAUGUCAAUAAACAAAAAUAAACUAGUUCAGCAUAUCAGUUAUGAGGCCUUUGUCUUCAUUUUGUUUAAUCAUAUUUGUGGCAGCUUGGUGGAUUUUUAUACUCAAUUUGGAGCUAUAAAAUGAAGAUGCUGAUUAUUAUUUUUUACUUUUUUCCCCAGGGAGGCUAUUUAUCUGGAGAGAUAAGACAUUUUCAUUCACUGAUAAACUUGAUAAUGAUGCCUGUAUUAAAAUUUUAUUCUGUUCUUAUUUUAGCAGCCAUAUCAACCAGUUUAUCCUUACAAUGCCCCAGAACAAUACCCUCCUUCUUCUUAGCCAUCAUUUUGAAUAUUAGUAACCCUAGGACAUGAUUAUGGCGGUAAGCUGGAACUAGUGACAUUUUAUUCUUCAGAUGUAUCAAUGGUGGUGUUAAAACUAGAGAAAACAAAAACAAGAUAUUAAAACAAAAGCAGGGAUGCCUGGGUGUCUCAGGGGUUGAGAGUCUGCCUUCUGCUCAGGGCAUAAUCGCAGGGUGGGGAUAGAAUCCACACUGGGCCCCUUGCAGGGAGCCUGCUUCUCCCUUGGCCUGUGUCUCUGCCUCUGAGUGUGUAUGUGUGAGUGUCUGUGUGUGUGUGUGUGUGUGUGUGUCUCAUGAAUAAAUAAAUAAAAUCUUAAAAAAAAAAAAAAAAGAAAGAAAGAAUGAAAGCAGCCCCAGUUUAGGAUUGGAGCCUGGUGUAGUUCUCCUAAAGUGUGGUUAUUUAUCUCAAUGUUUCCAAAGGAAAAUGUCCUGGUGUGAUGAAGGAGCAAGGAUUUGGGCUGGGAACACUUUUGUUUGUGUUCUGGUUCUGAGGAUUACUUUCGCAUGACCUUGAACUAUUCCUUCUUUUUUUUAAAACUUCUUUCUCAUGGACAAAACAGGCAUAUGAUGACACUUCAUUAAUUCAUAGAAUCUGUAGCUAUUAAAAGGUAUAUUACAUAAAAAACUUAGUUGGAAUUGCUGUAAUUUACAGCUGCAGCCUGCCCUGCCUCUAAAUCUGUGCCCAAUAUUAUUUAAAACUUUAUCUUCUAAAAAUGUAAUCUUUGGAGCCACUGCAUCAAUAAUAUCUGGGAAAUUGUCAGAAAUGUAGAGUCUAAAACCUCACCUUGACCUACACAACAUCAGAAUCUACAUUUUAAUAAGAUCUCUGUAUGGUCAUAACGCAAUAAACUUUGAAACUUCCUAGGGGAUUCCGACAAGCAAUGAGAAUGGGGACAGCUGCUCUAAUAUAAUACCAAUAAUAAGAAAUGGAAGUAUUUCCAAUUUGAUUUUAAAAUGUCAAUUUUACCUAAAACAAUAUUAGAUGUUCCAAAUUCUAUGCAAGUUUCAUUAUUUCACUGAAAACUAAAGCAGUUUUUUUGGAACUAAAAGAAGACUGUCUUGCAAUUCAGAGAUGAAACUGUUCUAGAGGAUUCCAUUAUUUUUAAUUGCACAUGGAGAAUUCAUUCACCUUGAAUUCCCUGUUGCCAUUAAUGACAGAACAAAGAAUCUAAACUUGAUUCCAUAAGCAUUAUGUAUCGCUGAGUAUAUUAGAGCAAGGAGGAGGAAUAUACUAAAACUAUUAUUUGGCAAAAAUUAAUUUGGAUGAAAUGAAUAGAGUAUAGUUGAGCAGAGAAGUGGUGGAACUGAUGUCUUGGUGAUAGACUCUGGAGAAAUAUGAGAGAGAGACCCUACGAAAAGGCAAUCAAUAGAUUUGAUGCUGGGUUGGAUGAGACACUAAAUCAGGGAAGGAGGGGGGAAAAACAGAUGCAAGUUAUCAGAAUUGGAUUAGCAAGUAAAAGUGCUGAGCAAUAUGUGACAGUGCUCUGUUGUUGCCCAUUUGUUUGCUGGAUCUGUUGUCAUUCUUCAGGAAGUUCGGCUUAGUGCAUGUUUUGCUAGGUUUCAGUAGGGAUGUUAAAAAUACUCUGGCUAUGUUAAGUUUGAAAGACAAUAGCAGUUAAAUUGAAAAGUGACCAGGGGAGAAAAAGAAGACAAUAGAAGUUCAUUCAAUCCAUUUUUCUAUAAUGAUUCGGUAUUUUUUAAUUCUCCAAGGUAGUAAUAAAAGUAAUCCCUUGAUAUGUAAUUAAUUUGGCUAGGAGAUUUGAAGACAUGGAAAUAAAGGAAUUUGUUAAGAGAGUGGAAUGAAAUAUUGGGAAAUAAAUACAGUUCCUUGUAUGCAUUUAAGGAAAUAAGGGUCAAACAAAUUUGUGUUCAUGAGCUGUUACUUGACCACAUCAUGAGCACUCAGUGAGACAGCCCCUAGAGAUACAAGUACCAAGCCAGAGUCCCUGCACUCUACAGCUUAUUAUCUAGUUUUAAAGAUGGAUGUAAAAACAAGCAAGCAUCAGUCAGAAUAUCAUUUCACAAAGAAGUGUUGUGAGUGGAUGGGUUCCUCAGGCCUAUCAAUACCAGCAGGUCCAUGGCACCUGGAGGCAGAAAGAUCUAAACAAUGAUGAAGGCCAUUGAGAAACUACCAAAUUAAUUUAGGAUGAGAAAUAAAAGUUUGAGGAAAAAAAGAAUAGGGAUAGCAGCAAUUUACUGCAAUACAGAGUCUGAUUGUGCAAGUUGUGUAGAAUGAUACUGGUGAAGCUAUUUACUGUGAAUAAUUUUAACCAUGGCAGGUUUUGGUCAGGGAUCCUUUGUCAUCAAAACAAACCCAAAGGUAAAUAAGGAGAGAAUUUCGUUAGACAAAGUCCUUUGCUUUGGGAGAACACUUAAAUCUCAGAAAUCUGCAAGUUUCUCAAAAUCCAAUAGAAAUGGCUUUUCUUUUACAGGCUAGAGAGAAUUUAGCAAAGAUCAGCAGAAACUUUUGAGGGGAACUUAAGCAAGCAAUGAGAGAUGGCCAAUAGGGUGUGACACAAAGCGCCUACUGUGGCUAGCCCAUUCUCUGGAACAUCUGAUAAAGGGCACACUCCAUCUUUAGUGCUUGUUCAGGCUUGGGGGAAAGCAGAGCUCAAGGAAGGAGAGAAGCCUGAUAAAUAUUUAAUUUGGCAAAUAGGCGUCUGUGAACACUUAGUCAGUCUCAGAGGAUAUCUAGAUGCAGUUUGAAAAGAAGUGUUAGCAAUGUUUGAUAUUUAAUUCAAAUUUAAUAAAAAUAAUAUUUCUCUUUCUCCACAGGCUUGGUGGAAAGUCCUAUUUGCUUUCUUACUCAAAAUGAUUCUUCCUAAAGAAAAAUCCUUUAAUCAUCUAGUAACACUUAUUAGCCCCAAUACACCACAUACACCCAAAGUAUUUGUAAAAUUAUGUUUUGGAAUUUAAUUUUUUAAAUUGCAUUAUAUUAUGCGUUAUAUCACAAUUUAAAAAUAAUUGGAUCCAUCAUAAUUUCUAGAUUUUCCGUAAGAAAAAAGAAAUCUAAUCAAAUAAUGUUACAUGGACAACACACACCAGAGAUUAAUGAUCAAUAUUUUGAAAAUAGUAAUAGUAGUCUCUGAACUAUUGGAAAAUCUCCUUUUCUCCUCUGUGUUAAUAACAUCAUAAAAAUGUUUAAAAACCUUAUGCAUAAUAAACUGAUUAUCAAGCAUAUACAAGUUCUCCCAUUGUAUUUGUUUCUGGGGUAGCCAUUACAGAUUAUCAAAACUGGUGGCUAAAAUCAACAGAAAUGUAUGCUCUCACGGUUCUGUUGGCAGAGGCUUGCUCUUUCUGACAGUUCUAGGGUUCAAGCUUCACCUCUACCUAGUUUCUAGCAAUUUAUUGGCAAUCCUGGAAUUCCCUGGUUUGUAAAUGUGUUAUUUCAAUCUCUGCCUCUCUUGUCUGCAAGCAAUCUUCUCCUUCUGUGUGUCUCUCUUCUUAUGAAGAUACCAGUCAAAUGCACUACUUUUUGUUUGACUGCAAAGAAUCCUGUCAUUGCAGUUUCCCUUGUAGUAUUCCAUUCUGUUUAUUUCCCCUUGGCCUCCUUCCUUUCGCACUCACCUAGGCUUCACCUUGGAUCAUUUCAAAUUUUCUCUUCAUAUCACAUUGACUCCCUGCCUUUGACAAUCCGACCUGGAAAAGCCUAACCCCGGAAAAUCUUUAAAAAUCUACUUCUUGGGACCCCUGGGUGGCUCAGUAGUUGAGCGUCUGCCUUCAGCUCAGGGCAUGAUCCUGGGAUUCUGGGAUCAAGUCACACAUCGGGUUCCCUAAACGGAGCCUGUUUCUGCCUCUGCCUGUGUCUCUGCCUCUCUCUCUCUGUGUGUGUCUCUCAUGAAUAAAUAAAUAAAAUCGUUUUUUAAAAAUCUACUUUUGCCACUCCUUUCCCUGGCAGCUACAUUAUAAAGGAUAAAAAAAAAAUCUCCCAACUAUGUAAUUGUCCCCUUUUAGCUUAUGUUUUCUAUUCUUUACUAGACACUCAGAACUGUUCAUCAAACAUUUCUUUGUUGGCGUUAGUUAGCUGUAAUUUCUUUUUUGUUCUUCUCAAACCAAAGGCAUUUGGUCCUGUUAAUUAAAUCUUCCUGAUCAGAAGCCUCUUUGUUUCUCUUUCUUGAACUACUUCUAUAUAUUCUACGCCCACUCCCUUUUCUCAGAAUCAAUGCUGAUAUUCUCCAGGGUUCAGACCUCUGCCUCUUUUUCUUCUGUACACCUUCUUCCUCUAUUAUCUUGCCACUCUGAGGACUUAAUUCCCAUCUAUUGUCUGACGGUGCCCCAUGUUCAGACACGAUCCUGCAUUUCAGCCUCCAAAUUUAGACUGACAUACCCAAUUGUAUGCUAGACAUCUCUGUAUUUUUAUAUUUCCCAAAUUGCAAUGUAAACUUUGUGAAUAUGUGUUCACUUGAAUCUCUUAUCCACAGAAUGCAUCUAUUGGAACUCACAUUUUGUCCAAAUUUAUCAGGUUUCUAUUUUUUUGUCAUAUUAAGAUGAAACAGGGACAUAUUAUAUAAUGUAGCUACUUUUGCAGAUAACUAUAUAGGCUUCUAGGAUUUGAGCUCUCCCCUGUGACUCACCGG
rnacentral:lncRNA from 1 species